UCAAACCCUAAAUUCCCAAAUUCUCUGCGCCCUCCCAUUCUUCUCCUCUGUUCGAAGGCCAGAACCGUCGUCCCCCUCGAUCCCGCGCCCUCCCGUCGUCCUCCUCGACAUCUUUGUCCCGUCGUCCUCCUCGACGUUUUGUCGUCGCCUCCCCCUCAGCUCCUCGACGUCCUCCUCCGACAUCAUCAUCCCGUCGUCGCCUCCCCCUAAGCCCCUCAGAUCCUCGCCGUCCCGUCAUCCUCCUCGACGUUUCGUCGUCAUCCUCCUUCGACAUCGCCGUCCGAGAGUGCACCCUUCCGCCAAAAAAUUCAUUCACAAAAUUCGUUUCUCCGCCUAAAUUCACAAACUCAGAAAUAAAACCCCCAAAACUUUUAUCCCCCUUCAAACCCUCUCUAAACUUCUUUUUCUCUCUAAAAAUCCCUCUCAUUGUAAACCCACUUCGUCUUCCCCCUCAAAUCUCUCGAAAUUUCCCAGUUUUAAGGGAUUCAGUUCGAGAAUGGACUCUAUGAUUGUAAGCAAGUCUGCGUGCUCGGCUCGGUAUUUGCACAAGAAAGCUUCAGAAUAUGACAUCGGGAUCUAUUUUGAAGCAAAUAGUCAUGGAACAAUUCUAUUUUCAGAAGAUUUUAUAUCUAUCCUACAUGAUGUGGAGAAAGAGCUUGCUUCUUGUCCAGGUUAACUCAACUACCUUAUAUCUAUCCUACAUGAUGUAUUAUAAGUGUGGCAGCUUGGAAGAUGUGUGCUUGGUGUUUGAUAAAAUGCAUGUUUAUUCUUUAAGUGUUACAAUGUUUACUAACGAUAUAAAUGAUGACUUCAGAUCACAUGGCAUUGAAACAAUUUGAUACACCCGAUGAAAAAGCUCCAAACUCAUUAUACAGAGAAACAUGACUUGUAAGCAUUGUCGACAUACAAACAUGAGAAAAUAAGUAAAAUUUAUUAUUGUUAAAUUUCCUCCCAUGUUAUUUUUAAUUAGUUUAUGCUUGCUAGGUGUUUGCUAAAAUGAUCUGCAGUUAAAUUAGAAUCAGUGAUUGAUAUGUUUGCAUUCUAAUUUAUAACUAAUGUGUUGAAUGGCUUGUGUUGCAUUUCAAUUUGUGUUUGUGAAUUAGGCGUGCUUGAUUCCAAGUCAUUGUGUAUGUUAACAAAUUGAUUACAAAUUGAUGGUGUAAUUGUAGUUUCAUUUGCAUUAUAUAUGAUUACAAAUUGAUGAUUACAAAAUUUGGCUUAUCCAGAGUUGAACAAGUUAACAGUUUAGGUAUCAAUGAUACAAAAUCAAAUGCGAUAGUCUGGUGUCUUUGUACAUGCUGCUUUUUCAUUUAUUUAAUUUUACAAUGCAGAUGUAAACAUUGAGAUGAAGUGCCUGGUUCAAACAACAAAUAUAAGAUAUGUGUUAUAAAUUAUACCCUUUGUUCUGGAAAUUGUUUGGGUAUUUGUUGUUCUCAUUUUGAUUAACUAGCAUACACUCUAGCAUACACUCAUUUUGAUUAACUAGCAUACACUCAUUUUUGAUUAACUAGUCUGGUGUCUUUGUCCUUGGUUGAUAGUUCAUGAGCCUGGAGCUUCCGAUGCUGUGGAGGUUUCCGUGUUCCAAAAGUGUAGGCAGUUCGGACAUUUCACCCACCACGAAAGUAGUAUAAAUUGGAUUCUUAAUGUAUAUUUGAUUUUUCUCAUUGUCACGUGACUGAUUUUGUAAUGCUAAUACAGCCAUAAUGACGCUACUUGCUGUAUUUUUUGUGAACAUGUAUCAUUCGGAUUGCGCAUUCGUUUGCAAAUUUCUGGUGAAUAUGUAUCAUUCGGAUUGCACGUAUUUUAUGUGAA